rnacentral:lncRNA from 1 species
ACGAGACAUUGACUAAAAAAAAAAAACCAAAUUGGGAAUAACUUGUGAAUAUCUUGAACUAGAUUCCCAUCACGGCUACUGUGCCAUGUAAUCCAGAAGUCUAUCCCACUCACUUCGUUGCAUUUUCAGUGUAGUCAUUUCAGCAUACAUUUCAUCUUUAGCAUCAGGUAGCUCCACCUCGGCUGCUCUUCAUCUGCCUCCACUCUCGUGAAUGUCUCGUCUACUAUUCCUAAACGUAGUAGAAAAUUUUGUAUCUCCAUCGUAGCUACAACAACAGCAACUUGCGUUAGGAAAGGGUAGUUGGGAAUAUGAUCCAAGAUUUUCCAUCUCUGUUUUCACACACUGAAUGCACGUUCUAUGACGUUCCUGUAGGACAAGUAUUUGAAGUUAAACUUCUUUCAAGCAUUACAAAAUCUAUGAUGACAUCCCAUUCGUUCGUCUUGAAACUACUGAAAAUGGUACAAUAUAUUCGAACUUUUCUACGGAGCCAUAUACCCAGGGCGAUGAGUAAACUUGAAGUUGGCCAAAUAGUACUUCCCCAGGGCCGAUAAGGAAAAAUGUAUUUCCGGACUAUGGAUCUCAUGCGCAAGGAUUCGCAUCGUGCGUAUUCCCAAAUGUUCCUGCCAGCACAAGCAUGAAGCAUAAAUUAAAAUCAUAUAUGGCAACACAUUCUGGGUUGGCACUCCUUUCAAUCCUAUGAAGUUGAGAUGCUUGAGUUGCGGAAGCACAGCUUUCACAUGCGUUCCAUCAAUAGCACCGAUGCAGUCUCGAAAUAGUAGAUGCUUGCUCAAGUCAAUCCUGUGAGGCUCGAUAUCAUCGUUGUAGUUUGGACCCAGUUGAAAUAGACACGUCGAAACUGCAAUGAUCGUACCUAGGACCUUUUUCUGUUAGUGACAUACGGUUUGCAGUGAAUGGUUAAAUAUCAUUGUCAUCUGGCGAUAUCUCUUCUCGUGCGCUAAUAUGCACAGGAACAUGCCAAUUUACUCGUAGAUAUCAACCUACUAGAUGUUGCGUAGCCCAUGUUUGUCGUGCAAAGUAUGUACAAAAUGUUGUAGCAUUGCGGAUACAUAAGAAAUUCUUGAUAGCACAUCUGCCCAUUCUCGCCCAUUGUCUCCAUAAUAAACAUGUGACCGUUUAUUGAGAAUGGAAAUUGUUGGAUACGAUGUUGCUGUCUGCGUCGCUCUUGGUAAUUCUGCAGUACAUAACCCAUGCCGUUACAUUGGCUACCAAAUGGUUGAGGAACUACUUUUCCUCACAGUUGUUUUUUGUAUCGGAGCCCGAUAGUAGAACAUAGUUGAAGUUCAAGUCAUCCAUUACGCACAAGAUGCAAAAUAACGUAAAAUAGACACCCAAUAAGGGUUAUGGAGUUGCAGAGAAUGCAUUUUCCUCAUUUAACCUUAGAGCUCCACAUAUUUCUCUCCCUCACUCAAUACAGAGUAAUUUAUAGAAAGUGCACAUCAUUGGUACUACAUCCUUAACACUGAUUGAUUCUCCCUUGCAAGUUGCACCAACUGUACCACAACAUUGGUGCAUU